GCCUCGGUGGUGUAGUGGUCAAGACGCUCGCCUGGUAAACAGGAGGGAGUGGGUUCGAUCCCACAGUCGAGGUA
rnacentral:tRNA from 1 species